AGAGAGAGACAUGCGCGCAUAUCAAUAAGCGGAGGAAAAGAAACUAACUAGGAUUCCCUCAGUAACGGCGAGUGAAGCGGGAAGAGCUCAAAUUUGAAAUCUUCAAGGUUCUACCUUGACGAAUUGUAGUUUAUAGAAGUGUUUUCUGUAGUGGAGUUUGGUAAAAGUUCUUUGGAAUAGGACAUCAUAGAGGGUGAGAAUCCCGUAUUUGGACUAUUCUUCUAGCGUUGUGAUACACUUUCAAAGAGUCGGAUUGUUUGGGAAUGCAGUCCAAAAUGGGUGGUAAAUUUCAUCUAAAGCUAAAUAUUGGCGAGAGACCGAUAGCGAACAAGUACCGUGAGGGAAAGAUGAAAAGAACUUUGAAAAGAGAGUUAAACAGUACGUGAAAUUGUCAAAAGGGAAGCGUUUGACACCAGUGUUGUUUUCUCGAAAAUCAAUUAAGAAUGGCCUUAUUUUUGAGGUAGUAUUGACCUUAAUAGGCUUGCUUCACUCUUUCUUGUAACUUUCUUAAUGCACUUUUCGGUUAACAAGUCAACAUCAAUUUCUUUUGUUGUAAAAGGGUCAUGAGGAAGGUGGCUUUCUUUUCGGAGAAAGUGUUUAUAGCCUUGAUGCUCUGCAAUCCGGAGAGACUGAGGUCUGCAGCGUAGACUCUUCGGGGUUAGAUACAGUUUGUGCUAAGCUAUAGCUUUUCAUAGACAACUUGUUGACUAUAGUUUAGUCUUGUAGCUUACUCGCUGAUGCUAUUUUACCUACGCUUAGGAUGUUGACAGCAGUAUAGACUGU
rnacentral:rRNA from 1 species